rnacentral:rRNA from 1 species
CAGUAGCCGCGGGAAUACGUAGGUGGCAAGCGUUGUCCGGAAUUAUUGGGCGUAAAGGGCUCGCAGGCGGUUUCUUAAGUCUGAUGUGAAAGCCCCCGGCUCAACCGGGGAGGGUCAUUGGAAACUGGGAAACUUGAGUGCAGAAGAGGAGAGUGGAAUUCCACGUGUAGCGAUGAAAUGCGUAGAGAUGUGGAGGAACACCAGUGGCGAAGGCGACUCUCUGGUCUGUAACUGACGCUGAGGAGCGAAAGCGUGGGGAGCGAACAGGAUUAGAUACCCCCGUAGUCCCUGUCUCUUAUAC